rnacentral:rRNA from 1 species
UGGGGAAUUUUGGACAAUGGGGGAAACCCUGAUCCAGCCAUCCCGCGUGUGCGAUGAAGGCCUUCGGGUUGUAAAGCACUUUUGGCAGGAAAGAAACGUCAUGGGUUAAUACCCCGUGAAACUGACGGUACCUGCAGAAUAAGCACCGGCUAACUACGUGCCAGCAGCCGCGGUAAUACGUAGGGUGCAAGCGUUAAUCGCAAUUACUGGGCGUAAAGCGUGCGCAGGCGGUUCGGAAAGAAAGAUGUGAAAUCCCAGAGCUCAACUUUGGAACUGCAUUUUUAACUACCGGGAUAGAGUGUGUCAGAGGGAGGUGGAAUUCCGCGUGUAGCAGUGAAAUGCGUAGAUAUGCGGAGGAACACCGAUGGCGAAGGCAGCCUCCUGGGAUAACACUGACGCUCAUGCAAGAAAGCGUGGGGAGCAAACAGG